rnacentral:rRNA from 1 species
AGUAACGCGUGGGCGAACCUGCCUCAGUACUGGGGGAUAGCAGUUGGAAACGACUGAUAAUACCGCAUAAGCGCACAGCAUCGCAGUGAUGACAGUGUGAAAAACUCCGGUGGUAUGACGAUGGGCCCGCGUCAGAUUAGCCAGUUGGCAGGGUAACGGCCUACCAAAGCGACGAUCUGUAGCCGGCCUGAGAGGCGGACGGCCACAUUGGGACUGAGACACGGCCCAAACUCCUACGGGAGGCAGCAGUGGGGGAUAUUGCACAAUGGAGGAAACUCUGAUGCAGCGACGCCGCGUGAAGUGAAGAAGUAUUUCGGUAUGUAAAGCUCUAUCAGCAGGGAAGAAAGACUCGCAAGAGAGAUGACGGUACCUGACUAAGAAGCCCCGGCUAACUACGUGCCAGCCGCUGC